rnacentral:rRNA from 1 species
AAUAAUUUAUUUGAUGGUUUCUUACUACAUGGAUAACUGUAGUAAUUCUAGAGCUAAUACAUGCGUAAAGUCCCGACUCUUGCGGGGAGGGAUGUAUUUAUUAGAUAAAAAACCAAUGCGGGCUCUGCCCGGUUUUGUGGUGAAUCAUAGUAACUUUUCGAAUCGCAUGGCUUCACGCCGGCGAUAGUUCAUUCAAAUUUCUGCCCUAUCAGCUUUCGACGGUAGUGUAGUGGACUACCGUGGCGUUAACUGGUAACGGAGAAUUAGGGUUCGAUUCCGGAGAGGGAGCCUGAGAAACGGCUACCACA